GUGUGUGUAUAUAAUGCAGUGUGUUUGUGUAGUGUGCAUUAUAUAAACACACUACACAAACACACUGCAUUAUAUAUUAUAUGU